rnacentral:rRNA from 1 species
CCUACGGGAGGCAGCAGUGAGGAAUCUUCGUCAAUGGGCGCUACCCUGAACCAGCCAAGUAGCGUGAAGGAUGACUGCCCUAUGGGUUGUAAACUUCUUUUAUAUGGGAAUAAAGUGCAGUAUGUAUACUGCUUUGCAUGUACCUUAUGAAUAAGGAUCGGCUAACGCCGUGCCAUCAGCCGCGGUAAUACGGAGGAUCCGAGCGUUAUCCGGAUUUAUUGGGUUGAAAGGGAACGUAGGCGGGUUGGUAAGUCAGUUGUGAAAGUGUGCGGCCUAACCGUAAAAUUGCAGUUGAUACUGGCAUCCUUGAGUACAGUAGAGGUAGGCGGAAUUCGUGGUGUAGCGGUGAAAUGCGUAGAUAUAACGAAGAACUCCGAUUGCGAAGGCAGCCUGCUGGACUGUAACUGACGCUGAUGCUCGAAAGUGUGGGUAUCAAACAGGAUUAGAUACCCUAGUAGUC